CAAAUCAAAUGCAGAUCCUAACUUUUCUACCAAAUCAAAUGCGCCAUAUUAGUUUGACAUUUCCCACAACUCAAAGCUCUCUCUUUUAUACCAAGCAAAACACCACCGAACAAGGUAAGCUGUGAACUUUGAUUUCCUUCCAUAGUCCAUCUUUCAGAUUUCAAAGAAAGCAAUAUGCGAGAUCCUUUUUCAUGCUCCACAACCUCAACGGAAAGCUCUCAAUGUUUCAUCUACAAGUCACUCUGCCCAUUUUAUCUCUAUUCACGGUUCAGGCGGGAAGUGAUAGCUAAAGAGGGAAGUAACUCUACGCCCGUUGUGGGAACGAAUAAGGUUGAGCAGGCGAUGGAAUGGAUCGGUGUUGAGCGGAUUUUCCUUUUUAUGGUUAUGUAAUGAAACCUUGAGUAUGCAUCUCCAUAUGCAUAACUCACACGUUUUUCCGCUGCAAAUACUCUGACUUAUUUAUCAUUUCUACUUGAACUUAUUACUACUUCAUCUUGAUUAACUUUCAUUUGAAGUCUAGUCGUUAUGGUAGGCUCGUUUGUAAAUUA